rnacentral:rRNA from 1 species
CCCUUAGAUGUCCUGGGCUGCACGCGCGCUACACUGACACGUUCAACGAGUUUUGCCUGCUCCGAUGGGACUGGGUAAUCUUAUGAAAGCGUGUCGUGAUGGGGAUAGAUUAUUGCAAUUAUUAAUCUUCAACGAGGAAUUCCUAGUAAGUACAAGCCAUCAGCUUGUGCUGAUUACGUCCCUGCCCUUUGUACACACCGCCCGUCGCUCCUACCGAUUGGGUGAUCCGGUGAAUAACUCGGACUGCAGCUAUUCGGGAGACCGUUAGCUUGUGGAAAGUUUAGUAAAUCUUAUCACUUAGAGGAAGGAGAAGUCGUAACA